rfam:Culex pipiens quinquefasciatus supercont3.629 genomic scaffold, whole genome shotgun sequence.
AAAACGGCCCUUUUAAGGGCCACCAUUUUGAUCAAGCAAGAGUUAU